AUAAUUUGCUGCACCAAAAGAAGCUGUAGAUGGCACAACACUGAAUGCUUUCAUUGUUAGGAUUGGACUACAAGAAGUUGAAGUCGUUUUGUGUGAGACAAAUGUGACCAACUAGCCAUUGGUGAUCAUAGAACUUAUUAAUUUGAUAGAAAUCAGUAAAUUAUUAUGCAACAUUACAUCAUUACACGAACACUAGAAGGGACUUUAUCAAGAGCCUGAAGUUUUGCUCCCUCGUAAAGAUUUAGAAAGAUCAAAUAAUCCCUAACUAAUACUGAAUCAACCAAAAAUAAAACCUAAAGACAUCUUCCAUUUCUUCCCUUCACGGACUUGAGAGAUUUUUAUUUUCAUCUUA
rnacentral:misc_RNA from 1 species